UACGGGGGAGCAAGCGUUGUUCGGAUUUACUGGGCGUAAAGGGCGCGUAGGCGGCCACCGCAAGUCGACUGUGAAAUCUCCGGGCUUAACCCGGAAAGGUCAGCCGAUACUGCGGGGCUAGAGUGCAGAAGGGCAACUGGGAAUUCUCGGUGUAGCGGUGAAAUGCGUAGAUAUCGAGAGGAACACCUGCGGCGAAGGCGGGUUGCUGGGCCGACACUGACGCUGAGGCGCGAAAGCCAGGGGAGCGAACGGG
rnacentral:rRNA from 1 species